rnacentral:rRNA from 1 species
CCCUUAGAUGUUCUGGGCCGCACGCGCGCUACACUGAUGCAUUCAACGAGUUUUACCUUGGCCGAGAGGCCUGGGCAAUCUUUUAAACCUGCAUCGUGAUAGGGAUAGAUUAUUGCAAUUAUUAAUCAUGAACGAGGAAUUCCUAGUAAGUGCAAGUCAACAGCUUGCGUUGAUUACGUCCCUGCCCUUUGUACACACCGCCCGUCGCUACUACUGAUUGGAUGUUUAAGCGAGGUUCUCGAACUGCUAGUGACUGAUCUUCGGUGAGGUCGCAGUGUGGGAAGUGAACCUAGCUUUGGUGUCUAGAGGAAGUAAAAGUCGUAACA